rnacentral:rRNA from 1 species
CGAAAGUUAGAGGUUCGAAGGCGAUCAGAUACCGCCCUAGUUCUAACCAUAAACGAUGCCAGCCAGCGAUCCGGCUGUGUUCCUCAAAUGACACGCCGGGCAGCUUCCGGGAAACCAAAGCUUUUGGGUUCCGGGGGAAGUAUGGUUGCAAAGCUGAAACUUAAAGGAAUUGACGGAGGGGCACCACCAGACGUGGAUGUUGCGGUUCAAUUUGACUCAACGCAGCAAAUCCUACCAGGCCAGGACACAGGAAGGAUUGACAGAUUGAGAGCUCUUUCUUGAUUCUGUGGGUGGUGGUGCAUGGCCGUUCCUGGUUCGUGGAGCGAUUUGUCUUGUUUAUUCUGAUAACGGACGAGAUUCUAGCCUACUAAAUAGACGCUUCGAUCCUUCGAGUCGAGCGUUCUUCUUAGAGGGACAGGCGGUGCUUAGCCGCACGAGGCAGAGCAAUAACAGGUCUGUAAUGCCCUUAGAUGUCCUGGGCCACACGCGUCCUACAUUGAAGGAAUCAACGUGUGCUUUCCCUGUCCGAAGGGACCGGGUAACCCGUUGAACUUCCUUCGUGCUGGGGAUAGG